rnacentral:rRNA from 1 species
CUGGCGGCAUGGCCUAACACAUGCAAGUCGAACGGAGGUAGGGGCAACUCUACUUCAGUGGCGGACGGGUGAGGAAUGCGUCGGAAUCUACCCUAUGGUGGGGGAUAACACAGGGAAACUUGUGCUAAUACCGCAUGAUGUCGAGAGACCAAAGCAGGGGGACCGCAAGGCCUUGCGCGAUAGGAUGAGCCGACGCCCGAUUAGCUAGUUGGUAGGGUAAAGGCCUACCAAGGCGACGAUCGGUAGCUGGUCUGAGAGGAUGAUCAGCCACACUGGGACUGAGACACGGCCCAGACUCCUACGGGAGGCAGCAGUGGGGAAUAUUGGACAAUGGGCGCAAGCCUGAUCCAGCAAUGCCGCGUGUGUGAAGAAGGCCUGCGGGUUGUAAAGCACUUUUGUUCGGGAAGAAAACGGAUCGGUUAAUACCCCGGUUCGGAUGACGGUACCGAAAGAAUAAGCACCGGCUAACUUCGUGCCAGCAGCCGCGGUAAUACGAAGGGUGCAAGCGUUAAUCGGAAUUACUGGGC